rnacentral:rRNA from 1 species
ACUCAAAUGAAUUGACGGGGGCCCGCACAAGCGGCGGAGCAUGUUGCUUAAUUCGACGCAACGCGAAGAACCUUACCAAGGUUUGACAUCACCGGAAAACUCGCAGAGAUGCGGGGUCCUUUUGGGCCGGUGACAGGUGGUGCAUGGCUGUCGUCAGCUCGUGUCGUGAGAUGUUGGGUUAAGUCCCGCAACGAGCGCAACCCUCGUUCCAUGUUGCCAGCACGUAAUGGUGGGGACUCAUGGGAGACUGCCGGGGUCAACUCGGAGGAAGGUGGGGAUGACGUCAAGUCAUCAUGCCCCUUAUGUCUUGGGCUGCAAACAUGCUACAAUGGCCGGUACAAAGGGCUGCGAAACCGCGAGGUGGAGCGAAUCCCGGAAAGCCGGUCUCAGUUCGGAUUGGGGUCUGCAACUCGACCCCAUGAAGUCGGAGUCGCUAGUAAUCGCAGAUCAGCAACGCUGCGGUGAAUACGUUCCCGGGCCUUGUACACACCGCCCGU